GUAGUUGCGCAUCUUCCGAUCAUGCUCCAGUAAGGGAAUUAAGGGCGGCACAUUGCCCUUGUAAUGGGGAUCCAGCAGGGUGGCCACCCAGUAAUCAGCACAAGUUAGAAUGUGGGCAACUCGGCAGUCUUUACACAGGCACUUUGGUGACUCUAGAUAACCUCGGCCCGAUCGCACGUUACCGUGACGGUGACGACGCAUUCGGAUGUCUGCCCUAUCAACGUUUCAUGGUACUUUCUGCGCCUACCAUGGUGACCCCGGGUAAUGGGAAAUCAGGGUUCAAUUUUG